GGGCGUUAAGUUGCAGGGUAUAGACCCGAAACCCGGUGAUCUAGCCAUGGGCAGGUUGAAGGUUGGGUAACACUAACUGGAGGACCGAACCGACUAAUGUUGAAAAAUUAGCGGAUGACCUGUGGCUGGGGGUGAAAGGCCAAUCAAACCGGGAGAUAGCUGGUUCUCCCCGAAAGCUAUUUAGGUAGCGCCUCGUGAAUUCAUCUCCGGGGGUAGAGCACUGUUUCGGCUAGGGGGCCAUCCCGGCUUACCAACCCGAUGCAAACUGCGAAUACCGGAGAAUGUUAUCACGGGAGACACACGGCGGGUGCUAACGUCCGUCGUGAAGAGGGAAACAACCCAGACCGCCAGCUAAGGUCCCAAAGUCAUGGUUAAGUGGGAAACGAUGUGGGAAGGCCCAGACAGCCAGGAUGUUGGCUUAGAAGCAGCCAUCAUUUAAAGAAAGCGUAAUAGCUCACUGGUCGAGUCGGCCUGCGCGGAAGAUGUAACGGGGCUAAACCAUGCACCGAAGCUGCGGCA
rnacentral:rRNA from 1 species